AUGGUAUUUUCAGUUUCUGGAGAAAAAUACUUAUAGACAGUUUAACUAUAGAUAUAUAAGUGAUCCCAGUUUCUUGUUUGCUAUGAUACUUCUGUGUUAUUUUUACUUAUUCCAUCAAAUGACAGUUGUGUCCUAGCCACAUCAGACAGCUGUCUAAGCUCUGGACUACUCCUUCAUGCAGCUGAAUCACUGCAGGGUUGACCAUGCCUGGGGUCACAGUGAUGGUUUCCAUUUCUAGGUGAAAGGUUGGCCUAGGACACAGGUCUCAAAGACUCUUGAAUCAGAAUCAGGAGAUUAGGGAAAACAGGAUAGAUAUCUGAGCAUGAAUAGUAGUAGACCUCCAGCCUUUCCCAUCGGAGGUCUUCUGGAUUCUUUGUGAGUUGAUUUUGAUUUGAUAUCUGUUUUCCCUUCAUCUUGCUUGCAAGUAUACAUGGUUCAAUCUCUUGCAUCCAGGAAAUGAAUUUUGCAGUUGGGCCAGAUGCUAAUUUGCACGUUGAUUCACCUUCUUUGCCUUUAACUUUUUUUUUUUUUUUUUUUGAAAUUAAUAUAUGUAACACAGCUAUAAUUUAUAGAUUUUUCAUGUAGACAAAGAUAAGUGUUAAAAGUGAGUCCAUCUAGAAUUUAAGAAUAUAUUAAGUAAAUAAUAGGCCUAAUAAACAUGCAGCAAAAUUUAGGAAAAUCAUAUGCAAAUAUAAAGAUUGAGGAGAACUGGACCAAUUGAUCUCCAAGGCCUGUCCCAGUCCUAGGACACCAUAGCUCCUUAACUUAGACUCUCUCUUCAAGGAGAACUUUAUUCCCAGGGUUCAUUAUAAGUAGCUCUCCCAGAGACAAUAAGGAAGGAGAUUGAAGAGCUGCAACUUUAUUCUCAAAAAGGAAAAAAGGUGAGUUUUUUAAAACAGUUUCGAUUUUUAGAUGAAGACAAAUAGAAAAGAUUCUAUGUAAGCUGCCCAAGAUCCACUAGGAGUGUAUUGCUGGGAACAGAUCCCAGACUUGCUUCCAUGGGAUUGGCAUUGACAGUUUUGUUGGGACCAACUGAUGGCAUAGUUAUGACUGAAAACAUAAAGUAGCACAAAUUUUUUUCUUAAUGACUAACACAUACACAUUCAGAUUCAGAUAGAAACUGCAGCUGCUCCCUCCAACUACUACAAGUUUGAUGAGCAGAUGGCAGGCUUCAUCUGGGAAUGGAAAGAUUUAGGGCUAGAAUUGAGAAAGAAUUGCCCUAAGUUAGAAGACUAGGAGGAGAGGGUAUUGUAACUACAAAUGCAUUUAAGAAUUGCCACAAGACAGUCCUGGAUUUUGUGUGCUGCACAUCACUCAUGGCUAUGCUUGUUUUAUAUUUUAAAUAUUGAUCAUUCAGAGAACAAAUCUCAUUCAAACUGAAUGUGUGUGUUUAUGUGAGAUGACUAUUGCAUCCAAAGAGAUGACUGCUGCUUCUGCAUGAGUUUUUUUCCCCCUAAUAUUAAGACAUCCAUCCUAGCAUCCGCAUCUUUACAUAAAACUAGAUUCUAGGAAUUGGAAGCUGAUUCCUUCCCUAGUCCAGAGAAUUAUCUUGUUAUAUGUUUUUAUGCUUCCUAAUGUAAGAUCAAGCCCAAGGGGAAAAGAGGAAUUUGUUUAGGGGAUACAGAGUUUCAAUUUGCAAGAUAAAAAACUACUGGAGAUCUGUUGUACAACAGUGUGAACACACUUAAAACUGCCCAACUGUACAUUUAAAACUGGUUAAGGUUGUUUCAAAAAAAAAAAACAGACAAACUGGAAAGCAUUAAAUGUUCAAUCUGAAGAGCUUCCAAUGAUCCAGGAUUGAAACAAAUCUGAAAAAGCAAAAGAAGAAAGGGAAAUAAACCAUAUGGCGUAUAUUCAAAGAUGCAUUUAGCUAAUGCCCUCUGGUGAGAAACCCAUUAAGAGGAACAUAAGGCAGUUCAGACUGAGCACUGAGAGAUAGAAUUUGUCAGGGGAAACAAAGGGACUCCUUAUAAGGGAAGUAAAGACAUCAUGUACCCAGAAAAUCACUCAUUUCAGAGGAUGGCUCUGCUAGCAAACUUUAGACCAGGGAAUAGUAAGCUUAAUUGUGAGGUAAUGAUCAAGAAGGAGAGGUAUACAUGAGGUAAUUU
ensembl:lncRNA